rnacentral:rRNA from 1 species
UACGAAGGGGGCUAGCGUUGCUCGGAAUCACUGGGCGUAAAGCGCACGUAGGCGGCUUUUUAAGUCAGGGGUGAAAUCCUGGAGCUCAACUCCAGAACUGCCUUUGAUACUGAGAAGCUUGAGUCCGGGAGAGGUGAGUGGAACUGCGAGUGUAGAGGUGAAAUUCGUAGAUAUUAGGAAGAACACCAGUGGCGAAGGCGGCUCACUGGCCCGGUACUGACGCUCAUGUGCGAAAGCGUGGGGAGCAAACAGG